UACCCGGGGAAAACCCGUAAAGGAUACGGUCCCCCUUGUGGUCGGUGUACAGGUGGUGCAUGGCUGUCGUCAGCUCGUGUCGUGAGAUGUUGGGUUAAGUCCCGCAACGAGCGCAACCCUUGUUCCAUGUUGCCAGCACGCGGUGGAAGCCGUGGUGGGGACUCAUGGGAGACUGCCGGGGUCAACUCGGAGGAAGGUGGGGAUGACGUCAAGUCAUCAUGCCCCUUAUGUCCAGGGCUUCACACAUGCUACAAUGGCCUAUACAGAGGGCUGCGAUACCGUGAGGUGGAGCGAAUCCCUUAAAGCCGGUCUCAGUUCGGACCGGGGUCUGCAACUCGACCCCGUGAAGUCGGAGUCGCUAGUAAUCGCAGAUCAGCAACGCUGCGGUGAAUACGUUCCCGGGCCUUGUACACACCGAAU
rnacentral:rRNA from 1 species